rnacentral:rRNA from 1 species
GACGAACGCUGGCGGCGUGCUUAACACAUGCAAGUCGAACGGAAAGGCCCUGCUUUUGUGGGGUGCUCGAGUGGCGAACGGGUGAGUAACACGUGAGUAACCUGCCCUUGACUUUGGGAUAACUUCAGGAAACUGGGGCUAAUACCGGAUAGGAGCUCCUGCUGCAUGGUGGGGGUUGGAAAGUUUCGGCGGUUGGGGAUGGACUCGCGGCUUAUCAGCUUGUUGGUGGGGUAGUGGCUUACCAAGGCUUUGACGGGUAGCCGGCCUGAGAGGGUGACCGGCCACAUUGGGACUGAGAUACGGCCCAGACUCCUACGGGAGGCAGCAGUGGGGAAUAUUGCACAAUGGGCGGAAGCCUGAUGCAGCAACGCCGCGUGCGGGAUGACGGCCUUCGGGUUGUAAACCGCUUUCGCCUGUGACGAAGCGUGAGUGACGGUAAUGGGUAAAGAAGCACCGGCUAACUACGUGCCAGCAGCCGCGGUGAUACGUAGGGUGCGAGCGUUGUCCGGAUUUAUUGGGCGUAAAGGGCUCGUAGGUGGUUGAUCGCGUCGGAAGUGUAAUCUUGGGGCUUAACCCUGAGCGUGCUUUCGAUACGGGUUGACUUGAGGAAGGUAGGGGAGAAUGGAAUUCCUGGUGGAGCGGUGGAAUGCGCAGAUAUCAGGAGGAACACCAGUGGCGAAGGCGGUUCUCUGGGCCUUUCCUGACGCUGAGGAGCGAAAGCGUGGGGAGCGAACAGGCUUAGAUACCCUGGUAGUCCACGCUGUAAACGGUGGGUACUAGGUGUGGGGUCCAUUCCACGGGUUCCGUGCCGUAGCUAACGCUUUAAGUACCCCGCCUGGGGAGUACGGCCGCAAGGCUAAAACUCAAAGGAAUUGACGGGGCCCCGCACAAGCGGCGGAGCAUGCGGAUUAAUUCGAUGCAACGCGUAGAACCUUGCCUGGGUUUGACAUGGAUCGGGGGUGCUCAGAGAUGGGUGUGCCUCUUUUGGGGUCGGUUCACAGGUGGUGCAUGGCUGUCGUCAGCUCGUGUCGUGAGAUGUUGGGUUAAGUCCCGCAACGAGCGCAACCCUUGUUCACUGUUGCCAGCACGUUAUGGUGGGGACUCAGUGGAGACCGCCGGGGUCAACUCGGAGGAAGGUGGGGAUGACGUCAAGUCAUCAUGCCCCUUAUGUCCAGGGCUUCACGCAUGCUACAAUGGCUGGUACAGAGAGUGGCGAGCCUGUGAGGGUGAGCGAAUCUCGGAAAGCCGGUCUCAGUUCGGAUUGGGGUCUGCAACUCGACCUCAUGAAGUCGGAGUCGCUAGUAAUCGCAGAUCAGCAACGCUGCGGUGAAUACGUUCCCGGGGCU